rnacentral:lncRNA from 10 species
AAGGGGUUCCGGUGCGGCUCCGGAAGUAGUCGUGCCCUUUGCUGGGGCAUUCAGAGACAGAGUUUCACCGUGGUACCCAGGCUGGUCUCGAUCUCCUGAGCUCAAGCAAUCCACCUGCCUAGGCUCCCAAAGUGCUGGGAUUGCAGUUCUGGAGGCUAGAAGUCUGAGAUCAAAGUGUCAGCAUCAUCAGACCAUCACUGUUACAUAAGUACUUUCCCUUCUCUCACACCUGUGGUUGCGUGGGCUUGCCUUAUGACCAACUGAAAGAGUGGGAAAAAGCUUGAGCUUGGUUCAUGACUGGGUUGGAUCAGGACACUGGUGCAAGCCAUAAAAUGGACAGUAGCUGCACUGCAGAGAGUCAAGAAAACUUUUAAGCUAUUUACAGCUUUUAACAGUUAAGUGUACUCCUAUG